UACGUAGGCAGCGAGCGUUGUUCGGAAUUACUGGGCGUAAAGAGUGUGUAGGCGGUCUGUCGCGUCGGCUGUGAAAACCCGGGGCUCAACCCCGGGCCUGCAGUCGAUACGGGCAGACUAGAGUGCGGUAGGGGAGACUGGAAUUCCUGGUGUAGCGGUGGAAUGCGCAGAUAUCAGGAGGAACACCGGUGGCGAAGGCGGGUCUCUGGGCAGUAACUGACGCUGAGGAGCGAAAGCGUGGGGAGCGAACAGG
rnacentral:rRNA from 1 species